UACGUAGGGUCCGAGCGUUGUCCGGAGUUACUGGGCGUAAAGCGCGCGCAGGCGGCUCGCGAGGUGUCCUGUGAAAGCCCCGUGCUCAACGCGGGAGGGUCAGGGCAAACCGGCGGGCUUGAGGCCGGUAGAGGUGGGUGGAACUCCUGGUGGAGUGGUGAAAUGCGUAGAGAUCAGGAAGAACACCCGUGGCGAAGGCGGCCCACUGGGCCGGACCUGACGCUGAGGCGCGAAGGCGUGGGGAGCGAACGGG
rnacentral:rRNA from 1 species